rnacentral:lncRNA from 8 species
UUGGUCCUGGAUGUUAGACCUCUGGAGAGGAUUGGCCUGGAUCCUGACCUCAGAAUGGCUGCAUGGAGUCCCAGAUAAAGGAGCUACUGCCUUGGCUGCAGUGGAGCAUACAUUGGGCCUUCUAGGGAUGCUUCCUGGUGGUCUGCUGGAUUUAACCUCUGGCUCCUGCUUGUGGCUGGAGGUCAAUGUGCUCCCUCCGGUUUUGGUUUUGACCGGACCCAGACGCUUGCUACCCAUCUGUCCCUCCAGCUGCAGACGAGGCAUGCGAGGCACUUUGAGGGAGUUUUUGAUCCUUUGGACAGUGAGAGAGGUCACAGUGAGCAUUGGGAGGCUGAUGGGUGGAGUGGCCAUUGGAAGCCUUCCCAUGUCAGCCCUCUCUUUAGUCACAUCCAUGUUGUGGAAGUGGGAUCGGCUAUUCUUUCUCCCUGGUGGCAUUGGCUGUAGGACAAUAUCACUGGCACUCCGGACACUGAGGAUGUCUGUCAGGCUGUCCUCAGAACUGUUCUGACUGGUCUCUUGUGUCUUAGUCCUGGACAUCACUCUGUCUUUCAUGGCUGUGAGAGUCACAGUAGAGGAGCAAACAACAACAAAAAGCAUGUUUGAGAAAAAUAAUAUAGAAUAAAUUACAUAUAUUACAAUAGAAUUUGAUCAAAGUUGUUAUUAUAAACUAGUGUUUUUCCACUUUCAAAAGACAUUCCAAUUCCUGCCAAAAUGUUCAUAAAUUCAUAAAAAUGAAAGAUUCACAGACUAAGGCCUACCUUCAAUUUGGACUUCCAGAUCAUUUGCACAAGUAGGAUUUGACUAUACAGUUUCAACAAUAUAUUAUUGAAAACAGAAACACAAGACCUAGUUUUAAAUCACAAAUCACCAAAUAUAAAAGUUUUUGACAGUUAUUGAGCAAAUAAAGUUCUCAUAAGAUAAAAGUAAUGUAUUUGAGAUUAUUUCAUUAAAUUAUUGGUCCUACAUCAGUUCAGGAAGAGCGUCAAUGACCUGUCUAUGGAAUAUCUUAUUUUAACAAAUUAAUGCUUCAUUAUGACAUCAUGUACAUUAUGACAUAGCAGCCGUCCACAUUAUAAAAGUUUGUCAAAACCACUUGAAUAGGCAUGAAACGUAAUAUUAAAUACAAAAGGCCUAAUUCAACAAUUAAAUAAAAAUAAUAGUUUGACAGUAAUUAUUCCGUUUAUUGGCUUUUAUUUUCAUUACAGUAGUGGUUUUGAAUUUAUUAAAAUGAGAGUAGGCCUAGUGAGUUUCGUAGAACUCGAUCGCUUAUUGAACAUCUGUGUGGAACAUUCCCAGCUGACGCCACACAGACGCCUUUGAAAAACAUUCACGAUUUUAGUUUCAUAUUCAAUUCAUCAGCAUAUAUGCACGGCAAAUAAAUUCCCAGUACUCAAAUAAAUCUGAAAAUCACAAUUAUCUAUUUAUUAUAGCAUCCUCUUAGAACGAGAAACGCUGUGGUGUCGAUGUUUUUGAUUAUGUCCAAAUAGGAACAUAGCUACAGGUAUUUUUACUUCUAUACUAUAAUAGUAGUAGUAGUGCAUACGUUUUGAGUCAACGCUAAACCCACAAUAAUUAGCACCGUCAGCCAAUGGGGGAAG